rnacentral:misc_RNA from 1 species
CAAUGACUUAUAUACCUAAAAAAAUGCAACACUAUGCGCAUGCAGCCAUGAAUCUGAUCAACAUGGACUCGGAGAACCGGGUGGUGCUCAAUGUGGGUGGCAUUAGACACGAGACCUACAAGGCCACGCUGAAAAAGAUUCCGGCAACGCGAUUGUCGCGAUUGACAGAGGCCCUGGCCAAUUACGAUCCGAUACUGAAUGAGUACUUCUUUGAUCGGCAUCCGGGCGUCUUCGCACAAGUGCUCAACUAUUACAGAACUGGCAAGCUGCAUUAUCCCACGGACGUGUGCGGACCGCUGUUUGAGGAGGAAUUGGAGUUCUGGGGCCUAGACUCGAACCAAGUGGAGCCCUGCUGUUGGAUGACCUACACGCAGCAUCGCGACACCCAGGAAACCCUAGCCGUACUCGAUCGUCUCGAUCUGGAUACGGAAAAACCGUCCGAGGAGGAACUGGCGCGCAAAUUCGGCUUCGAGGAGGACUACUACAAAGGCACCAUAUCCUGGUGGCAGGAAAUGAAGCCGCGCAUUUGGUCCUUGUUCGAUGAGCCCUACAGUUCCAAUGCAGCCAAGACUAUUGGCGUGGUUUCGGUGUUCUUCAUCUGCAUUUCGAUCCUGUCGUUCUGCCUGAAGACCCAUCCCGACAUGCGGGUGCCCAUCGUCCGGAAUAUUACAGUGAAAACUGCGAAUGGAAGUAAUGGCUGGUUCUUGGACAAGACGCAGACCAAUGCGCACAUAGCCUUCUUCUAUAUCGAAUGCGUGUGCAAUGCCUGGUUUACCUUUGAAAUAUUGGUGCGCUUUAUCUCAUCGCCGAACAAGUGGGAGUUCAUCAAGUCAUCUGUUAACAUCAUAGACUACAUAGCGACGCUUAGUUUUUAUAUCGAUCUAGUGCUUCAGCGGUUCGCAUCGCAUCUGGAGAACGCUGACAUCCUCGAGUUCUUCUCGAUCAUCCGCAUCAUGCGUCUGUUCAAGCUGACGCGCCACUCGUCCGGACUGAAGAUCCUGAUCCAGACGUUCCGGGCCUCGGCCAAGGAGCUGACCCUGCUGGUGUUCUUCCUCGUCCUGGGCAUCGUGAUCUUCGCCAGCCUCGUCUACUACGCGGAGCGCAUCCAGCCGAACCCCCACAACGACUUCAAUAGCAUACCCCUGGGCCUGUGGUGGGCCCUGGUCACCAUGACCACCGUCGGCUACGGUGACAUGGCCCCCAAAACCUACAUCGGCAUGUUCGUGGGCGCCCUGUGCGCCCUAGCCGGCGUACUAACCAUCGCACUGCCAGUGCCCGUCAUCGUCAGCAACUUCGCCAUGUACUACUCGCACACGCAGGCCAGGGCCAAACUGCCAAAGAAGCGGAGACGAGUGCUUCCCGUCGAGCAGCCGCGGCAGCCCAGACUGCCAGGUGCACCUGGUGGUGUCAGUGGCUGCGGCACCCCGGGCUCGGGUCCCCACUCCGGUCCCAUGGGAUCCGGCGGAACUGGACCACGUCGCAUGAACAAUAAAACCAAGGACCUGGUCAGCCCCAAGUCAGAUGAAUAUACAACAAUGAUUGGCAAACCGCGCGAUGGCAAAAAGAGCAGGCUGCUCUAAGCCAACAAACACAACAGCACCAACAUGAACCACGAUACGACAACAACCACAACAGAACCAGCUGAAGAACCAAUAUUCCCCCAUACCAUUACUUCCAAGCUAGAACUCGCAAUGAGAGAUGAUGAUGAUACCUUCCUAUAUAAGAAUUUGGCAAACUGAUCUAUGAGUAAGCGAAGGAAAAGUUGAGAGAAACCGAAAACGCAACCCAAGGACUGGAUAAAGAUCAUAUAGCGGAUAUAGACCAAAUCGGAUCGUGUUGCUCAACUUUUCGCAGGUCCACUGGGCGCAAGUAUUGUGGCCAUGAGUCCCAGGACAAUGCUGGAUCUCAAUCC